rnacentral:rRNA from 1 species
CGUAUAUUAAAGUUGUUGCAGUUAAAAAGCUCGUAGUUGGAUUUGUGGUGACAGUUGUGGUCCAAUUUUGGUACUAACGAUUGCUGCCAUCCUUGGGUGGAACCUGUGUGGCAUUAGGUUGUCGUGCAGGGGAUGCCCAUCUUUUACUGUGAAAAAAUUAGAGUGUUCAAAGCAGGCUUAUGCCGUUGAAUAUAUUAGCAUGGAAUAAUGAGAUAGGACUUUUUCGCUAUUUUGUUGGUUUGCGCGAAGAGGUAAUGAUUAAUAGGGACAGUUGGGGG